CUCCCUCCCCACACACACCUGCUGAGGCGGUAAAAUGGGCGGGCCGGCGAGCGGGGCUUGCACCUAUUAUCUCUCCGACUCAUACCGUCGCGCCCAAGCACAAAAAAAACGCCCGACUCCAUCUGGUGCCAAAGGCACACGCAGUCUAGGUUUCUCCCCUUCGGCCCCCCGGGAAACGCUCUUCCCUUCUUCCACUAAGGAGACAACCAGCCGCGAGCAAGAGCAGCUACGUGAGCCCCAGAAGCAAGCAAGCGCCUUCCGCGUGCACUGCAUUGUUUACGCCGCCGCGGUUGCCAACGAGACCACCUCCCGCGACAUGAACCAGGUUGCCCGGCCUGCCCAGGUUUGAAAUGGUGCUGAUCUCUCUGCCGCCAUAGAAUCAUAGAGUUGGAAGAGACCACAAGGGCCAUCAAGUCCAACCCCCUGCAAUGCAGGAACACACAAUCAAAGUCUCUCUCUGCAUUUUUCAUUCUCCUGUAUGUAGUCAAAUUAUAACCAAGCUGUCACCUCGGAAGCAUUCAUGGCUAAUAGGAGAGCCAGUGUGGUGUAGUGGUUAAGAGCAGGCAGACUCUAAUCUGGAGAAACAGGUUUGAUUUCCCCAUUCCUCCACAUGAACGGCAGAGUGUUACCUGCUGGUGAACCAGAUUUGCUUCUGCAUUCUUGCAUUUCUAUUGGGUGAUGAUGUGCUAGUUGAACUCUCUCAGCCCCAUCUAUCUUACAAGGUGUCUUGUGGAGAGAGGAAGAGAAAGGAGCUUGUAAACUGCCUCGAGUCAUUUUGCAGGAGAAAAAGGUGGGGAAUACUACCAAAUCCUUUUCUCAAUUCAUUGGCUAUCCCUCCAUCAAUUUGUCUAACACUGAUUUAAUGGUGUCUUACCCAGGGGUCAUCACUGCUUUUUGGAGCAAUAAAUUGUAAAUGUUAAGCAUAUUUGUUUAUUUGGGAGACAGAUAAACUAAAACCAAGGCAGGGGACAAAAUGAAACAACUGUAUUGUGUUUUCCAAACAA